GGCAGGAUGAUGUAGUGGUUUGAGCACUGGACUACAGCUCUGGAGACCACGGUUCGAUUUUGUGCUUGGCCA